rnacentral:rRNA from 1 species
CCUGCCCCAUGCACCGGAAUAGCUCCUGGAAACGGGUGGUAAUGCCGGAUGCUCCAUCACACCGCAUGGUGUGUUGGGAAAGCCUUUGCGGCAUGGGAUGGGGUCGCGUCCUAUCAGCUUGAUGGCGGGGUAACGGCCCACCAUGGCUUCGACGGGUAGCCGGCCUGAGAGGGCGACCGGCCACAUUGGGACUGAGAUACGGCCCAGACUCCUACGGGAGGCAGCAGUGGGGAAUAUUGCACAAUGGGCGCAAGCCUGAUGCAGCGACGCCGCGUGAGGGAUGGAGGCCUUCGGGUUGUAAACCUCUUUUGUUAGGGAGCAAGGCAUUUUGUGUUGAGUGUACCUUUCGAAUAAGCACCGGCUAACUACGUGCCAGCAGCCGCGGUAAUACGUAGGGUGCAAGCGUUAUCCGGAAUUAUUGGGCGUAAAGGGCUCGUAGGCGGUUCGUCGCGUCCGGUGUGAAAGUCCAUCGCUUAACGGUGGAUCCGCGCCGGGUACGGGCGGGCUUGAGUGCGGUAGGGGAGACUGGAAUUCCCGGUGUAACGGUGGAAUGUGUAGAUAUCGGGAAGAACACCAAUGGCGAAGGCAGGUCUCUGGGCCGUUACUGACGCUGAGGAGCGAAAGCGUGGGGAGCGAACAGGAUUAGAUACCCUGGUAGUCCACGCCGUAAACGGUGGAUGCUGGAUGUGGGGCCCGUUCCACGGGUUCCGUGUCGGAGCUAACGCGUUAAGCAUCCCGCCUGGGGAGUACGGCCGCAAGGCUAAAACUCAAAGAAAUUGACGGGGGCCCGCACAAGCGGCGGAGCAUGCGGAUUAAUUCGAUGCAACGCGAAGAACCUUACCUGGGCUUGACAUGUUCCCGACGACCCCAGAGAUGGGGUUUCCCUUCGGGGCGGGUUCACAGGUGGUGCAUGGUCGUCGUCAGCUCGUGUCGUGAGAUGUUGGGUUAAGUCCCGCAACGAGCGCAACCCUCGCCCCGUGUUGCCAGCGGAUUGUGCCGGGAACUCACGGGGGACCGCCGGGGUUAACUCGGAGGAAGGUGGGGAUGACGUCAGAUCAUCAUGCCCCUUACGUCCAGGGCUUCACGCAUGCUACAAUGGCCGGUACAACGGGAUGCGACAGCGCGAGCUGGAGCGGAUCCCUGAAAACCGGUCUCAGUUCGGAUCGCAGUCUGCAACUCGACUGCGUGAAGGCGGAGUCGCUAGUAAUCGCGAAUCAGCAACGUCGCGGUGAAUGCGUUCCCGGGCCUUGUACACACCGCCCGUCAAGU